CUUCUGCCCGUGCCUGGCCCCGCCGGGUCGCUCCCGAGCUCCGCGUUUCGUUCGCCGACCCCUGGAAGACUGCCUGGAGGCCCGGGCGCCACCCAACCACUGGCUAGGCCGACACUUUGCGCGGACCCUGGGUGUAAAAGGUCCCCGGGUCUCUGGUCCCGACGGAGCUGUGAGGGAGAUCAACCACGCCCCCUCCGUGGGCACCGUGGCGGCAGGGAAGGAAAAGGGCUCUGGGUCUCGACUCUCUUCGGGUUAAGAACCGACGGGGUUUAUUCUAUGCAAGGUGUUAUUAACUCCAACUCUCCCUUUCGUUCAUUCAUUCCAUAUAUGUUGAACGACAACUUAGUGCCAAAUGCCGGCAUGCUGAAACUCAGAGAGGGAAGAUGUCUUGCAAGUACAGCAGCCACACCCAGGCAGGUCCCGUGCUCUCUCUUAGUUUAUCAGUGUUCCCUGACAUGUAGUGGUGACAUUGUUAAACACCUGCGUUUACUAAUACUAGAUUUUUUUUUUUUUUUUUUUUGAGAUAGAGUUUCGCUCUUGUUCCCUGGGCUGCAGUGCAGUGGCACCAUCUCGGCUCACCGCAACCUCCGCCUCCCAAGUUCAAGCGAUUCUCCUGCCUCAGCCUCCCCAGUAUCUGGGAUUACAGGUAUGCGCCACCACGCCCGGCUAAUUUUGUAUUUUUAGUAGAGACGGGGUUUCUCCAUGUUGGUCAGGCUGGUCUUGAACUCCCGACCUCAGGUGAUUCUCCCGCCUCGGCCUCCCAAAGUACUGGGAUUACAGGCGUGAGCCACUGCGCCUGGCCUACUAAUACUAGGUUUUAUUCCGGGCCCUUCACAGUUAAUGUUGGAGGCCUCUGGAGGAUGGCCACACCUGGGCUAUUUGCAGAAGCCUGGACAGCACAGCAGGCAGAGUUAAAGCAGUUAAGGCAGUAUCAGCUGAAGGGCCACCCAGCUGUGCGUGUGCCCAGGCUCCAAGAAUAAGGAGGUUGGGGGGCAGUCCUAAGAAAGGAAGUCAUUACCUAUCGGCAACCCAGGAGCAGACGCUGGCAUAACGGCGCACACACAGUAAAGGUCAGAGGUUCUUCUUAGAAUAGUCCUUAGGUGUUAGUCAAACCCAUGCCCUGCCCCAAGGAGUUCAUUCAUUCAUUCACUCAUUCAUUCACUCACUCACUCACUGGUUCUGUUUAUUCACUCAUUUCUCUAUCACAUAUCCAUUUAUUGUCAUUCACCCACUUAUUUACUCAUACAUUCAUUCAUUUGCUCAUCAAUUUAUUUGGUACCUACAUGGAGCCAGGUACAGGUCUUGAUUAAAGAGAUCUGGGGAGGAGUGCUCCCAAGAAGUUCAGAGCCUCACUGGUGAAGGAAAGCCAUGUAAAGACAGAUCUUGAGAACCCAAGAUCAUCAAGGAGUAUCCAUGAUCAAGCAGAGCAGGGAAGGCUUUUUGCUUUGUUUUGUUUUGUUUUUAACAUGCUGUGUGGUUCAGUAAAAUUAAAACAGGCACAAUGAUAUCCUGGAUGACAAGAGCUGGAGGCUGUCAUUCUAACAAUGUAGUGAGACUGGCUGUCUUGUCUCAUGCCCACCCCUGGAAACAUGCGCAGGAACUCAAAGCACCUAGCACAGAGGAAGUGUCUGGUGAGUCUUUUUAUUUCUCGAGGCAGUGGCUGCAUGGGGAAGUGCUUGAGCCCUGGCACCCAAAUCGCUUGGGUUUGGAUCUCUGCCACUGCCUGGUUCUUUGGCUUUGGAGAAGAUAUUCAGCCUCUUGGUCACUCAGUUUAUUCCCAUCUGAAAAAUGGGAAUAAUGAUAGUACUUACCUCAUUGGUUUGGUGUCAGGAUUUUUUUUUUUUUUCGAGAUAGAGUCUCGCUCUGUCGCCCAGGCUGGAGUGCAGUGGUGCAGUUUUGGCUCACUGCAACCUCCACCUCCCGGGUUCAAGUGAUUCUCCUGCCUCAGCCUCCUGAGUAGCUGGGACUACAGGCGUAUGCCACCACGCCUGGCUAAUUUUUGUAUUUUUAGUAGAGACAGGGUUUCACCAUGUUGGUUAGGCUGGUCUUGAACUCAUGACCUCAAGCAAUCCACCUGCCUCAGCCUCCCAAAGUGCUGGGAUUACAGAUGUGAGCCACCACACCCGGCCUGGUGUCAGGAUUAAAUGAACCCUUAGCACAAUACCUGGCACAGAGGAAGAACUUAAUA
rnacentral:lncRNA from 1 species